UGGGGAAUAUUGGACAAUGGGCGCAAGCCUGAUCCAGCCAUGCCGCGUGAGUGAUGAAGGCCCUAGGGUUGUAAAGCUCUUUCACCGGUGAAGAUAAUGACGGUAACCGGAGAAGAAGCCCCGGCUAACUUCGUGCCAACAGCCGCGGUAAUACGAAGGGGGCUAGCGUUGUUCGGAUUUACUGGGCGUAAAGCGCACGUAGGCGGACUUUUAAGUCAGGGGUGAAAUCCCGGGGCUCAACCCCGGAACUGCCUUUGAUACUGGAAGUCUUGAGUAUGGUAGAGGUGAGUGGAAUUCCGAGUGUAGAGGUGAAAUUCGUAGAUAUUCGGAGGAACACCAGUGGCGAAGGCGGCUCACUGGACCAUUACUGACGCUGAGGUGCGAAAGCGUGGGGAGCAAACAGG
rnacentral:rRNA from 1 species